GACGGAGGGUGCAAACGUUGUUCGGAAUUACUGGGCGUAAAGCGCGUGUAGGCUGCUUGGAAAGUCGGAUGUGAAAGCCCUGGGCUCAACCUAGGAAGUGCAUUCGAAACUUCUGAGCUGGAGUUCUGGAGAGGAAGGCGGAAUUCUCGGUGUAGAGGUGAAAUUCGUAGAUAUCGAGAGGAACACCGGUGGCGAAGGCGGCCUUCUGGACAGUGACUGACGCUGAGACGCGAAAGCGUGGGGAGCAAACAGG
rnacentral:rRNA from 1 species